CUUAAAUUGAAGAGUUUGAUCAUGGCUCAGAUUGAACGCUGGCGGCAGGCCUAACACAUGCAAGUCGAGCGGAAACGAGUUAUCUGAACCUUCGGGGAAGGAUA
rnacentral:rRNA from 1 species